AUCCAGCUGAUCAGUAUCAAAUAGGACGAAACACUUGUCCUAGAU
rnacentral:hammerhead_ribozyme from 1 species